GAAGGAAAACAGAAAACUGGAAAAACAUUUUCAUAGUCUCUUAGUUGGAGGUCUCAGAAAAAGAAUGGAGAAAGAAUAUCAUCAAAUUUAUGGGAACAAGACCCCAUCCUCCCCUAAAAGAUAUAGUGUUCCCUUCAUCCCCCAGAGACAACAAAGACCAACCAAACAAGAGCAACAAAGCAUAUCAAUAAAACUAACCAAGACGUCAUCUGGCCCUGAAACAAUCUUCAGUUUUCCAUAGCCAUCAUCACUAACUUCUGCCAAGAUGGAAGGGAAGGGCCCCCGUCU
rnacentral:lncRNA from 1 species